AGUGAACGCUGGCGGCAGGCCUAACACAUGCAAGUCGAACGGCAGCACAGUAAGAGCUUGCUCUUACGGGUGGCGAGUGGCGGACGGGUGAGGCAUACAUCGGCUUCUACUUUUACGUGGGGGAUAUCGUAGGGAAACUUACGCUAAUACCGCAUACGAUCUACGGGUGAAAGCAGGGGUUCUUCGGACCUUGCGCGACUGAAUGAGCCGAUGUCGGAUUAGCUAGUUGGCGAGGUAAAGGCCCACCAAGGCGACGAUCCGUAGCUGGUCUGAGAGGAUGAUCAGCCACACUGGAACUGAGACACGGUCCAGACUCCUACGGGAGGCAGCAGUAGGGAAUAUUGGACAAUGGGCGCAAGCCUGAUCCAGCCAUACCGCGUGGGUGAAGAAGGCCUUCGGAUUGUAAAGCCCUUUUGUUAGGAAAGAAAAUCAGCAGGUUAAUACCCCGCUGUUCUGACGGUACCCAAAGAAUAAGCACCGGCUAACUUCGUG
rnacentral:rRNA from 1 species